CAUUAGGGUGUGCACCCUAAAGCACAAACACGCCAUGUGUAUAUGUGUGUGUAUAUAACAGAUAUAUAUAUAUAUAUAUAUAUACACACACACACACAUAUACACAUGGCGUGUUUGUGCUUUAGGGUGCACACC